rnacentral:lncRNA from 1 species
AACACUCUCCCAAAUACAACCCUCGGUUUUCACGUGCUGCACGCGCACGUUUUGUUUUGCACUCACACGUCAAUCAAACGCAGACGACAACAGUGAGCUUCUCAUGAGCAGACAUGAAAACAAACUGCUAUUUUUAUUUCAUAGAGGGAGAUGUUUUCUUGUGGAUUGAAGUUACAGUGUUUGAACUUUCACCAGCAGCUCGAGUUUCAUUUUGAUUGGAUAUAUUUUUGUGCGACUUCAUCAUUUUGGACUGAGAAUGAUGGAACCUGGCCUAUUGGCAACUUUUUUAUGAAACUGUGAACAAAUGUUCUUAUCUGUCUGUGGAAAACGUUUCAGCAGAUUUGUUACAACACGUCGAGAGGGAAUCAAAACGAUAGAAGUUAUCGCUGAACAGCAGGUGCCCCAUUCGCACCGAUUUACAACUCCCCAUUCCAUCUGUGUCAACAAACUGCCAUUUAAAUUUCAUUGGAGAAGAUGUUUUCUUGUGGAUUGAAGAUACAGUGUUUGAACUUUCACCAGGAGAUAUUUCCAUUUGGAUUGGAUAUAAUUUUGUACGACAACGUCAUCGUGGACUAUGACAUGAUGGAGACUGACUGGGUAAUUGGCAUCGGCGGAGAAAGGUGCUGUGGCUGCUUGGCUCUCUAUUGAAACGUUUGGACAGACGAUACCAGUGAACCCGUCACUGCAGAGGCGUCGCCAAACAGCCACGUAAAUGUCAUUGGAGAAGAUGUUUUCUUGUGGAUUGAAAAUACAGUGUUUGAACUUGAAUAGUUUCAUUUGGAUUGGACAUAAUUGUUAUGGACACAUUUUGUGCGAUUGCAUAAUUAAGGACUGAUUGAUAGAGACAGACCGGACGAUUGACAUCGGCGGAGAAAGGUAGGAAAUUACGUUAUUGUUAGUGAAUUACAAGAUGGCAUUUCAUACAACGGUGUAGCUUCUAUAAUACACCAUAAAAGCAUCACUACAAACAAUAAAAGCUUGGGAUCAAUAGUUCCUUUGGAUCCAUCCAACCUAUGAUGCUCCUCAUCAAAAAAGGUGGCAUGGAACUACAGGAAGUAUUGCCAACUUUUUGCGGUCUUAAAAAACACAUAGCACUCAGGGCUUAGAACUACAAAUUAGUGCUUAAAAACUUGGCCAACUGCCCAACAGCAACAGUCUGACGGUUGUUGUUUUCGUUCAGUUGUCGGUAAAAUUUUCAUGUUUUGAGAUAUAUCCAAUUUUAUUAUAAACUUACUGCAAGUCAUCCCUGGACCAUCCCUGGGCCAUCGCUGGACGAUCCCUGGACAUUUGCUGUGGCCGUCAUGCAUAUCACACAUUCUUUUCUACCUGGUUAUUAAAAACCCGUUUCUGAAUAGAGGGGGCGGUGGGGUAGCCUUGUGGUUAAAUGGUUCCCUUAUCACACCGAAGGCCCGGGUUCUAUUGCCCAUAUGGGUACAAUGUGUGAAGCCCAUUUCCGGUGUCCCCGCCCUAAUUUGCUGGAAUAUAGCAAAAGGCGGCGAAAUUCCUAAGUCACUCACUCUUAGAAUAUAGCAAGCACUUAGAUUAUUCUUCAAAACACUUUUGAAAACAGAACUUUGGUUAUUUAUAGAGACACCUUAGAAAAUAGCAAGCACUUAUGUUAUCCAUGAAACCUUAGACUUUUGCAGUAUCUGUCAUGACUCAAACUAUUCGCCAGUUUGAACCUGUCGUCACAGUACAGUGCCUCACGACUUGCUGAACUAGACGCUAAUAUUAAUGUGGCACAGUACAGUGCCUCACGACUUGCUGAACUAGACGCUAAUAUUAAUGUGGCACAGUACAGUGCCUCACGACUUGCUAAACUAAACCCUCAUAUUAAUGUGGUACAGUACAGUGCCUCAUGAUUUGCUGAACUAUUCGCUCAAUAUCAAUGUGGUACAGUACAGUGCCUCGCGACUUGCUGAACUAUUCGCUCAUAUUAAUGUGGUACAGUACAGUGCCUCAUGAUUUGCUGAACUAUUCGCUCAAUAUCAAUGUGGUACAGUACAGUGCCUCGCGACUUGGUGAACUAUUCGCUCAUAUUAAUGUGGCACAGUACAGUGCCUCACGACUUGACGGGUGAUGUAGAUUCAGUACAGCUAGGUUAUUCUUCAAAACCCCUUAGAAUAUAGCAAGCACUUAGGUUGUUCUUCAAAUACCCUUAGAAUAUAGCAAGCACUUAGGUUAUUCUUCAAAACACUUUAGUAUAUAGCAAGCGCUUAGUUUCGAUACAUCUUCACCAGAUCAUCAACGCAGAAGAUAAAGGUGAGUCACAUAUUUACUUAAAAUCUUAUUGAUGUAUUCUUUAUUGCAGUUCAUAUUAGUCCAGUAGCAAAUAACCUCAAACUCAUUAAAACCGAGAAAAGCUCUCGAUAACCCGACUCGGACCUUUUCACGUGCGUGUCAAUUAGUCCUCGCCGUUUUGUGAUCAAUUUAAGGCCGCAAAGCGGAAGAAAUUUGCAUUGGCGUCGGCCCCUGUCACCCAGGUAAGCUACAUUUUUGCGUACAUUUAUAAAAAAAAUUAUGAAUAAUGUUGCAAAUAUUAAACUCGGAAUAAAGAUCAAGUAAUAUCUGUAAUGUUGCUUUUAUAUACGCAUUGAAUGUGCAUGCUACAUAAAUGAACGUUAUGACAGACCCUCUUGAACUUUGGUUGUUUCUUCUUUCUGCAGACAUUGCCUGCACAUAAUCGUACAAUGGAGAUUAACCUAUGAAUAGUGGCCAAGCAGUUCACUGAAGGAAGAAAGUCAUCUCAGCUUUGAAAGGAUCUCAAGUGCCAUGUGUGGGAGAAAG